rnacentral:rRNA from 1 species
UACGAGGGGUGCAAGCGUUAUUCGGAAUUAUUGGGCGUAAAGGGCGUGUAGGCGGCUUUUUAAGUCAUCUGUUAAAGACCAUCGCAUAACGAUGGGAGUGCAGGUGAAACUGAAAGGCUAGAGUGUAGGAGAGAGAAGUGGAAUUCUUGGAGUAGCGGUAAAAUGCGUAGAUCUCAAGAGGAACACCAAUGGCGAAGGCAGCUUCUUGGCCUAUUACUGACGCUGAGGCGCGAAAGCGUGGGGAGCAAACAGG